AGAUGUGACUAGAGAAGUGCGACAAGAGGAUAGAGAAGUGCGACAAGAGGAUAGAGAAGCAGAAAGGAAGAAGCUGGAGAACAACUGUAGAAAGCUGAAACAUGAGUUCAGAAUAUGGCAUCGAAAGGAGCUGACAGGGUGGACUGUUAUAUUACAAUGCAGAUGAUAACACAGAAAGUCGUAUCAACAGCGGUAGUCUUCAAAACGUUAAAGAUGACGUUCAGCAAGGCGUUCAAUAGAGGUCGAGUUGUGCAUGGGCAGGAGGCCCGAUAUUGGAUCACGAAUAACCACCUUAAGAUUGACAAAGUCUCUGAGCAGUGUUUCCUGCUCUUUUCCAUAUAUCGCGCACUCAACCAGCUUACUGCUGAUGUUUUUAGUCUUGAUGUCGAUGGAGACGAAAUGCGCGUUCUUCAGUCUAUCCUCUUCGAUUAAGUGGAUAUACAAAUGAAUUCUUUAACCGGACUCGUAAGCUGUUUGUUGAGAGUAAAGAUUGUGAUUCGUUGUUGAAAAUAACGAGAUGGGAUGGACGCAUGAAUAAUAUGCUUCGGGAAAAAGCCUCACUCAUUGACAACAGUUCUUACAUGUUAAGAAGUUUAACUAAUAAGAAGAUCUCACUGAAUUGUGUAAUUCUUUGACUCUCUGAAUAUUAAAUGGCUGGAGGGGUGAUAAUAAAAUUGUCAACUUGAGGGAAUACAGUCGACCGAGGCAAACGUAUCCUGCUUGAAGGAUUAGGCAAACUUGUCCCUAAAAUACUAAAUAGGCAGACAUAUACAAACUUUUUUAUUUUUCAGGGUUCAGUCUAAUUAGUAUAGGGAAAACAUCCAAAUAGUGAACGUUCGAAAGUUUUUAGAUACAUUGAAUAAUCAAGAAUAUACAAAAUUUAAGGUCUGUCGAUUUUUUUCUAUACCUCAUAGGCCAUAGGCAGACUUUAGGUGAAAACCAUCAAUGGGCAGACUCGUAUAUAUAGUAUACCAAACCAACAUUCGGCAGAUUCGUAUAUAUAUUAUACCUAACCAUCAUUCGGUGGUCUCAAUAUGUUUAGAUUUUAACAAUAAACUGUCCAAAAAGAAUAAUCUCAUUUUCCAAAUAACACAUUAUCUUUUUGAAAAAUAAAAUUCUUAAAACAAUUAAAUUUGGCUUAAAAUUAAACUGAGUUCUACAAACUCCAUGGUCCGCCUACGGAGAGGGACUGUGUGUCCGUUUCAUUCAAUGUCUUCGUCGUACUUGGACUACAAUGUAGUUUCAGUUUAUUUGUUGAACACACUAUUGGUAAAACUAAUGGGCUCCACUCUAAAAAGUUCCUUUAGAUUUCCUAGUAACGACAAACAUUCGUUCAUGAACAAAAACCUGAGAUCGCAAGUUCGAUUCCCGAUCUCUUUGGUAGGAAGAUGUGAUCUGACACUCGACCUACACGAUCGAAGUAAAAGAACCAAUUGUCUACAUGUUUUAUUAUAUAUUGGUGUGAGUCACAUCCCGUCUCACGCUUCAUGAAUUUGGACCAAGCAAUAAUGUUCUCAAUAGGCGCGGGCACUCCUUGACAAACUUCAAAUUCGGAUAGGAAAUUUAUGGAACACAAAUAUUUAGCUAUCAAAAUUACGUGAACAUGUUAAGUUCAACGAUGUCGUUAACAUCCAUAUGCUUGGUUUUAUUGUAUACUAACUGCGGAUAUGAUACUAAUGAUACCAGCUCAUUUCCCUUUCCCAUUCUGAGUGUGAUUAUAGGAUUGAGUGUCUUUUCUCUGAAUAAAACAUAUACUGAAAAUGAUA